GGUCGCGCCCACUCUACGGUCAUGCCUGAAGCGGCCGUGGCAGGCUCCAGGUGGCAUGGCAGAACGGUUUCAUCCCCAACGGUUGCCGUUAUUGGCCGAGACGGACCGACUACAUGCACCAGACCUGAGGAAGAUACCCAUCUGUUUCAACUCGAGCAGCGUGUUGUGGUUUUUGCGAUAUCUGUGACUAAAAUCCUUUCUGAGGAUCUCUAAAAGCUCAGUGGACUUUGACAUCCGACUGCUGCUUAGUAAAAGGGUGCUGAGAGAAGGACAAACACCACCAGUAAGAGAACUGUGUGAAGACUUAAGACCUGGUCCAUCUUUCAGGUGAGACAUCCUGGGCUUCUGAAAGCUAA